CAGUAGCCGCGGGAAUACGAAGGGGGCUAGCGUUGUUCGGAAUUACUGGGCGUAAAGCGCACGCAGGCGGCUCGAUAAAUUAGAAGUGAAAGCCUUGGGCUUAACCUGAGAAUUGCUUUUAAGACUGUCGAGCUAGAAUCCAGAAGAGGGUAGUGGAAUUCCGAGUGUAGAGGUGAAAUUCGUAGAUAUUCGGAAGAACACCAGUGGCGAAGGCGACUACCUGGUCUGGCAUUGACGCUCAUGUGCGAAAGCGUGGGGAGCAAACAGGAUUAGAUACCCGAGUAGUCCCUGUCUCUUAUAA
rnacentral:rRNA from 1 species